AACUCACUAACACUUAGUGGUUAAUUCAAUCAUCAAUUAUAUUGAUAAUUGACAUUAAUUGCGAUUCCAAAUCGCAACUAUGAUAGUCUGACUAAUCAAAUCCUCUAUGUGUGUGAUUCCGUAGGUUCUAUUCUGUCUGGUAGUGAGACAUAUUGAGAUCUCUAUCUCAAUAUCACUGAAACUCUUUUCAGUGGACUGAAACAAUUUCAGUUCUACUCUCAGGGUUCACUGAUCACCAAGUGAAUGCCUUCGAGUCUCACAAUCCACCAGUGACACCUAGCAGUAUGUGGUGGCAACCCAGCAGAAUAGUAUGUCUGAACCUCUAGGUGCAGUUAGCGUAUGAUACAGUCCCUCUAUCAUGGAUCCCGAUGUGGCGGAGGUUAUGGAUAACUCGUCAAAUUCCAUCGUCUGUCAUAUGUCUAAUUUAUUUGACUUCCAGUUCGAGAUAUGGAAAACUUUUUUUCCAAAAUAUCUGGCCAGGAAUUUAUCGAACUCGGUCUCAUAAAUCUUAUAGGAUCACUCCUAAUCUAUCAAGGUCGAUAGAUCCCAUCUAGAUGCAACCCUAUUCCAAAAUGAACCUACUGCAGCCAAUCCGCACCAUAAGGAUCCGAAUGGCUAGGGCCCAAGUUUACAUGCUCGUCAAACUACAGUAACCUCACAGUGAAUAGCUGAGGCAUCGCAGGUCAAAGGACCAGUCAUACAAUUGCAGCAUAAGUAGUCACUGACGAGUGGAUAGACAUCCAUGUGACUACUUUCUUUGGUCACGCUCAGUACACUUGUUCUCUAA
rnacentral:lncRNA from 1 species